GACGAACGCUGGCGGCGUGCUUAACACAUGCAAGUCGAGCGGAGCGGCGAACGGGUGAGUAACGCGUGAGUAACUGCCCCCCUCUCUGGGAUAACAGUUGGAAACGGCUGCUAAUACCGGAUAGUGGGGGAUGACUCGCGUCCUAUCAGCUUGUUGGUGGGGUAGUGGCGUACCAAGGCGACGACGGGUAGCCGGCCUGAGAGGGCGACCGGCCAGAGUGGGCUGGGAUACGGCCGGAAGGCCUACGGGAGGCAGCAGGGGGGAAUAUUGCGCAAUGGGGGAAACCCGGAUGCAGGAAGGCGCGUGGGGGAUGACGGCGUUCGGGUUGUAAACCGGUUGCAGGCAUGACGCGGUGGUGGCAGAAGAAGCAGGGGCGAACUACGGGCCAGCAGCCGCGGUAAUUC
rnacentral:rRNA from 1 species